rnacentral:lncRNA from 1 species
CCACCGUCAACCCCGACGGCCCCCAACAGUCCGGAAUAGUCUGAAUGCUACUGUAAAAAUACACUCGGCAUCACAGCACGAGCGUAACUGAAAUCUAAACUAUCUGGGGUAUCCACCACGCCGAUACUACGGCGAUACAAAUAACAACGGCUCCUAGAGCUAAAUCAGGUAGUUUAAACAUAUGACAGAUCAUAAUCGCAGUUUUCUCCUAAAU